rnacentral:rRNA from 1 species
AUAAUUCAUAUGUAUCAUUAUUGUCUAAAAGAUCAAUAUACAAUACAAUCGGGUACAACUUUAAAUACAUAAAUAUAGAAUCUAAACAUGACAAGUACUUAUUACAGCACUAGUAGUUGGAUCUAUAUUAUAAAAUUACAAAUAUACAGGGCUAAAACUUGAUAAAUACCAAAUAGUAUAGAUAGUUGGGCUAAUGCAAAAAAAUCUACAAAUUAGCCUAUGCCCGUGGUUUUUUUUUCUAAAGUGGGAUGCAACCCACUUGGUCUUUCGCCCCAGGCCCAGGCCGGCCGCCGCUUAAUCCAGCGGAUGGAUAAGAGAGCGAGUGGAGGGGGAGCGGUCAUGUUUGACCGCAUCCCUGCCUCUCCGCCUCUCCACCCCCACCUGAUCCCGACGACGGUGGCCGCCCGAGCCAGGCGCCGGCGAGCUCUAGGAGGGGCCGCCCUCCUCCGCAGCGUAGCCAGGGAGGUUGAGGCCGGCCGGGUCCCAGGCGCCUGAGCGGAGGGCGGUGGAGGCGGCGGGCUUGCUGUUGGCGGCGGCGGCGGCGAAGCGGGGCCGGGGGGCGCGGUGGCGUUGGGGCCGGGGGGCACGGUGACUCGGAGGACGACGCCUCGUCCUCGAUCUGCACGCCCAUGGAGGUGUUGAGGUUGAGGAUGGGGGCGCGGCGCUGAGGCCGGGCGAGGGGCACGGCCGACGGUGCAGGGGCCGAGGCGCGGCCGCGGGCGGCCGGCCGAACGGGCGCGGUGCCGUCUCGAGAGGAGCAGCGUCGGGGCCGACGUCUCCUCUGCACUCGUGGCGCCGGACGUCGUGAGGACCCACACCGGCGACGAGUUUGCCAACUGGGAGGACGGGGCUCCGAAAGAUGCCGCGGGCGCGGCUGAGCGCAGGGCAGCGGCCGAGCGGCCGCACUACAGCCGGGCCAGGCCGGGCGGACGGGCGGCGCGACCGGACAGCGAAGGCGGGGCGCGGGCGCUGCCGGACGAGAGGUGCGGCCGGCGGCGCGGAGGCCAUGGUGCGGCCGCGGGCGGAGCACCGCGAGUUGCUUGGCCUUCUCGCUCUUCGGAGAGCAAAGUGCUGAUAACGUGUUAGCAUGAAAAGGAGAAGUGAUUGAUUGAAUGAAUUAGUCUGUUCUUUCCAUUGAUCAAUUGGGUAUAUAUACAAGUAGAGGGGUGCCUCAAGAGAGCACCGACGAAGGAAGAGGCACCCGUACCGGACACAGGCGUCCGUACAAGGGAAGGGAUGCGACCCUACGGACACAGGCGUCCGUACGACGCUUUGGACAAAAUAACCUAUUUCUAACAUUUGUAAGUUGACGCGCAAGGUCGUGUUUCGGACAAGGUCUGUCGUAGCUUUGAAUUACAAUUUGUUCACCGUCCUGUAACGAAUUGUAACAACUUGGUUGGGAAGAGAAUUGAAAGCAAAAACAUAAUUAUGUAAGAACUUGGUUGGGAAGAGAACUAGUAGUGUAGUACUUUCUUCGUUCUAAAUUACUUGUUGCAGG